UUCAAUGAAUGCUUAUGAUUGGGAUCAAUUGAAUUAUCUUAAUUAUGAGAUAUGAAAAAUAACUCAUAUUUGUGCUAUGAAAUAUUAUGAAUAGCAAUAUCUUCUAUAUGAGCAAAUUGAUAUAUCUUUUAUGAUUGCUAUAAUGAGGGAGAGUAGAGAAAUAAACAAUCAAAAAGGAGUAAAGAAAUAAAAUAUGGUA
rnacentral:lncRNA from 1 species